UACGUAGGGUGCGAGCGUUUGUCCGGAAUUAUUGGGCGUAAAGGGCUCGUAGGCGGUUUGUCGCGUCUGCCGUGAAAGUCCGGGGCUCAACUCCGGAUCUGCGGUGGGUACGGGCAGACUAGAGUGAUGUAGGGGGAGACUGGAAUUCCUGGUGUAGCGGUGAAAAUGCGCAGAUAUCAGGAGGAACACCGAUGGCGAAGGCGGUUCUCUGGGCAGUAACUGACGCUGAGGAGCGAAAAGCGUGGGGAGCGAACAGG
rnacentral:rRNA from 1 species